AGGUGAACGGAAUUUGCCAGGCAAGGUUCUUCAUGCGCCAUGACUUUACUGUGCUGCAGGAGUUUUGGUGCGGACGCCUACGCUAUAUUAAGAAAUCAGGCCAGAAACAAUGCUCGUCUGUGACCCUCUGGGACGCGGUCGCACAAGGCUCGAGUGCUGCAGACUUAAGAAAGAAUAAAAAGUGUUAAAGACGUAUCC